AUGCAGGAUGGUUGAAUUGUGAGCU
rnacentral:piRNA from 1 species